rfam:Ovis aries breed Texel chromosome 16, whole genome shotgun sequence.
CCUGGUGGCUCAGACGGUAAAGCGUCUGCCUGCAAUGCGGGAGACCCGGGUUCAAUUCCUGGGUCAGGA